AUAAACCGCCUGUUUCUGUUUGUCUUUCCUCAACAAUCUUUGGACGACUGACAAGUUAUUUCCUCUCACACAGGUGGAACAUUCCUGCAUGAUGGUUACAGCUGACAAUCAGCUGCAGUCUCAAGAGUUUGAGCCACAAGAGGCCAGAAAUGCACCACUACCCCAUGUUCUAAGUAGGACUGAAAGCAUUCAUGUUUUCUUCUUGACAGCAGAAUGAGACCUACACACUGUUGGGGAGAAAUUCAAACCUGAUUGGCUGUGCGUAGGAGAGAUACAACGAGCACAACUCAAGGGUCCAAGCACACCUGAAGGUUCACUGGUGGCCAAAUACCUGAACCUGAUCAGAGGAGGACAUGAUAAGUUUCCAGCUUUUUAUUAUUGUGUGUAUUGUGAGUUGUAUGUAACCCAGGUCCCAUGUUGCUGUGUUAUAUUUAUACUUGAGUGUGUAGUACAACGGGACAGGGCCUGAGUUCAUUGUUCAACUGUUAUAUGUGUUAUUAUCCUUCAACUUGCCUCUUUUGAGUUUUACCACAAAUAUUUAUUUCUAAUCUUACUCAACAAAAUUAAUAAGGACACCACACAACUGUACUUUAAAUGCAAUAAUCCUGAUACAGGUAUUUAUUUACAAAA